GGAAGGUUUUUUGAUUGAAUGGUACAGUGUCUGCUUGGCACGCUAAAGGUCCCAGGUUCAAUCCCUGAUAUCUCCA
rnacentral:tRNA from 1 species